rnacentral:lncRNA from 1 species
UGUCCAGGGGGAAAAGGGAGUUUUUUCAGGGAAAAAAUGGAUUUUUUCGGGGAUAAAAUGGAUUUUUCCAGGGAUAAAAUGGAUUUUUCCAGGGAAUAAAAGCACUUUUCCAGGGGAAAAAUGGAUUUUUUCAGGGAAAAAUGGAUUUUUUCAGGGGAAAAAAAAAUUCCAGGGGAAAAAUGGAUUUUUUCAGGGAUAAAAUGGAUUUUUUCGGGGAUAAAAUGGAUUUUUUCAGGGAAAAAAAAUAAUUUCCAAAGAAAAAAGGACUUUUCCAUGGAAAAAAUGGAUUUUUUCAGGGAAAAAUGGAUUUUUCCAAGGAAAAAAUGGAUUUUUUCAGGGAAAAAAAUGGAUUUUUUCAGGGAUAAAAUGCAUUUUUUUCAAGGAAUAAAAGGGCUUUUCCAGGGAAAAAAUGGAUUUUUCCAGGGAAAAAUGGAUUUUUUCAGGGAAAAAUCUGGAAAAACGGGAAAAAAAACCCAGGAAAAAUCCGGAAAAACUGGGAAAAAAACAGGGAAAAAUCCGGAAAAACGGGGAAAAAUCCGGAAAAAUGGGAAAAAAACGGGAAAAAUCUGGAAAAAUGGGGAAAAAAACCGGAAAAAAUCCGGAAAAAAAACCGGGAAAAAUCCGGAAAAACGGGGAAAAAACUGGAAAAAUACGGAAAAAUGGGAAAAAAAACGGGAAAAACGGGAAAAAAACCGGGAAAAAUCUGGAAAAACGGGGAAAAAACCCGGGAAAAGUCCGGGAAAAUGGGAAAAACCCGGGAAAAAUCCGGAAAAACGGGAAAAAACCGGGAACAAUCCGGAAAAACGGGAAAAAAAUCAGGAAAACGGGAAAAAUGGGGAAAAAACCGGGAAAAAUCCGGAAAAAUGGGAAAAAAAACCGGGAAAAACGGGGAAAAAACCGGGAAAAAGGGGAAAAAACCGGGAAAAAUCUGGAAAAAUGGGGAAAAAAUCGGGAAAACCGGGAAAAAAACCGGGAAAAAUCCGGGAAAAUGGGGAAAAAACCGGGAAAAAUCCAGAAAAAUGGGGAAAAAAUCGGGAAAAAUCCGGAAAAAUGGGGAAAAAAAAUCGGGAAAAAUCCGGAAAAAUGGGGAAAAAAAUCGGGAAAAAUCCAGAAAAAUGGGGGAAAAAUCGGGAAAAAUCUGGAAAAAUGGGGAAAAAACCGGGAAAAAUCCGGAAAAACGGGGAAAAAACAAAGGGGGGUGAUGGGGGUUUGGGAAUUCCCGAUUUUCCCGUGGGAUUUUGGGGGAAAAAGGGGGAAAUUUGGGAAUUUGGGGGCACUCACGUGGGAUUUUGCGGAACACCGUGUGGCACAUGAAGCGCUGGAAGCGCUCGGCGUAGAAGCUGGGCCGGUGCACGGACACCGUGUCCUGGAAUUCCGGGAAAAAAC